rnacentral:rRNA from 1 species
CAGCAGCCGCGGUAACACGUAGGUCCCGAGCGUUGUCCGGAUUUAUUGGGCGUAAAGCGAGCGCAGGCGGUUAGAUAAGUCUGAAGUUAAAGGCUGUGGCUUAACCAUAGUACGCUUUGGAAACUGUUUAACUUGAGUGCAAGAGGGGAGAGUGGAAUUCCAUGUGUAGCAGUGAAAUGCGUAGAUAUAUGGAGGAACACCGGUGGCGAAAGCGGCUCUCUGGCUUGUAACUGACGCUGAGGCUCGAAAGCGUGGGGAGCAAACAGGAUUAGAUACCCCCGUAGUCCCUGUCUCUUAUACA